rnacentral:lncRNA from 1 species
AGAAGGAGGUUGGAGGUGCAAGAAGAAUGUACCCUAUUCCAAGAACAAGUCCUUUGGGACCCCCUGAUGUGAAUCAAGUGACCUUCAUGGUGACAGGGCCACUGAGCACCCGGUCGAAGCGCUGCCUCCUGUUGAAGCCCACGCUGCACUACGUCCUUGCUCUUCGUUUGUGUUAAAGACAUAACUAAGAAUAAUCGAGUCCAUAUUCUGUAAAAGCAAGAAAGGCAUGCGCUUAGGGCAAACAUUCAUUAGGUGAAUUUCAUUGACGGCUCAACUUUUGGUCAUCUGACAAGGUCACAGUUUCAAUUACAAUAACUGUUAGGGUCUACCUGAUGCCCAGCACCCCUGCCCAGACACCUUGCUCCAGGCUCGAAUUGGGGAAUCCGGAAUUUAUUAUUCAGCUCAAGUUUUCAUAAUAAAAAUUUCCAUUGAACAGCCUCUCUAAUUUCCGAAAUGUUUAAUCAGGUAAAAAUGAGUUAUUGAAAACAUAAAAGGAUUCAUUUGUAGAAUCAUCUCAGUUUUUUAAUCAUUUAUAUCCUCAUACUAUAUGGCAGAUAUUGUUCAAUGCAACCAGAUACAGCAGUGAGCAAUCGCAUUCCGGUUCUCUUGAAAUUUACAUUCCCAGGGGGUGGUGAGAGGGGAAAAACACCAGCAUUAUAUUACCUGGCAACAAUAGGUCAGCGCUAUGAAGAGAAAAGUAAGACAGGGGAGAGAAAGUGAUUGGAGCUAGUAUUUCGUGUACGGUGGUGAGACAUGGACAUUCUGAUAAGACUGAUUUCAAGGGAUCUAAAUGAAGUGAGAGAAGAAUCCAUACAAGUAUCUGGAAAAGGAAAGUUCCAGGCAGAAAACCAACAGGGAGCUAAGGCUUGCAGAUUAGCAGGAGUACAUGCGGAUAGAGGAAAUUUCAUGGAAAAUUGUAAGUGCUCCAUUAAGCUGAAGAAUAGGAUCAUUGUGGUGAGGAUAAAAUGGAAGAGACGGGCUGCAUACCAGAACAAGACAGGUGUUUGCCACCAGGUAAUCUAAGACGAAAACACUUGUUCUUCCUAUGGCUAUUCAGGUCUCUGUCAGCUCACUGAAGGGUGGGAAUUAGAUGUAAAAAUACAGCUGUGGGUUCUGAGCAAACAGUCAAGUAACGCUUGUAGAAAAGUAAGCCAUGUGGGUUACAUUAGUUCAUUUGCUACUCUGAGAAUUCUCUUUUAAAAUACUGGAUUUUCCAGAAGUUUUCAUCAUAAAGAGUAUUACUAGCAUGAGGAGUAUCAUUAUCUAAUAUUUUGAUCAUUAUAGACUUUGUAUCCUGAUUUAAAACAAAGGUGAAGUAUACCAAUUUUAUAUUUUUUUCCUGUAUACUCAACAUGUGUAGGGAAAAGUGCCGUAAUUUUUGGUCUGUGCUCCCACAGUUUAAUGGCAAAAGGACUAAUGUACUCCCUUCUUAUUAGGAGUACUAUUUUUUUAACAUGACUUCUUGUAAAACUAUUUUAACUAUUAUAUUUGUUAGCUGUUACAUUUAACUAAAAGUUGACAGUUAAAAAAUACAGAAUUGUUUAUAAAUAUAAAACUCAUUUAAACAAAUGCAAUUAUUUAGAGUAAGUUAACAUACAAAUACAUAUUUGGCCACAGUAUGUGUACACAGAUAUUCUUUCAGCAAAACUAACGGGCUUAAAUUACCCAAGUUUGUGGUAUUUAAUUUAGAAUGUCAGAGGGCACACAACACAUUAGAAACAGUGCAUAUACGGGAACUUUUUUAAAAACUUUAUUCCUGUAACAACUCUGCCACUUCCCUGAUAAUCUGCAUUUAAAUGCUUUAAGCAUCCCUUUUCUUACUUGUAACAUUUGUGUAAUAGGAUUUCAAUUCAAGGGUAUAAUUCACUCUUCUUAAUAAAUUGCUUAAAGAGAUUAAUUUAUUUGUCUAA